rnacentral:rRNA from 1 species
UACGUAGGGGGCUAGCGUUGUCCGGAAUCAUUGGGCGUAAAGCGCGUGUAGGCGGCUCGGUAAGUCCGCUGUGAAAGUCGGGGGCUCAACCCUCGGAUGCCGGUGGAUACUGUCGGGCUCGAGUGCGGAAGAGGCGAGUGGAAUUCCUGGUGUAGCGGUGAAAUGCGUAGAUAUCUGGAGGAACACCGGUGGCGAAGGCGACAUCCUGGACCGGUAUUGACGCUGAGGCGCGAAAGCCAGGGGAGCAAACGGG